ACUGUGUAGCUCCCCUUCGGAGGAAGAAGUUACUUUAGACAAAAGGCAAAAAAAUUAAAUGUAUUUUUCAUUUGUAAUUAUAUGGAAGGGCCCUACCAAGAUGCUAGAAUUGGAGGGGGUUCCUGACAAGAAAGUUACAUUCUUGUCCUGAAGAAUUGCUUUCUUAUUUAAAAACAGAGUCAGUUAGUGGGUAGUUCUGGGCAAUAGAAAUAAAUAUAAAACAAUAAUGACAAUCAUUCUCUACAUCUCAUUAUCAGCUGAGGUACUGUAUAUUACUGAAUUUACUGAAGAUAGUUAUGUCUUUCAGACAUUGUUGUUAUAAACUAUGUUUAAGCCUACUACAAGUGUUUCUUUUUUGCAUUAUGUCAGAAUUGAUGUACCUUUUUUUUAAUGAUUACCUCCCUGUACUACUGUGCGAACAAUCAAACAAAAUGAUGAGAUUAAUGGUCAUGGAUAAAUUUCAAGAAAACUAGUGUAUUUGAUUGAAAAGUUUAAAGUUAGAACUUAGGCCAUUGGAAUUUACUCAUAUAGCAAACUGCGUAGAGCCAAUAUUGACUCACCUACACACGUUAUACAGAUUGACAUUUUAGACAUUUUGAAGGCCCCGUAGGUAUUUUAUUAGUUAGAACUUAAUUUUUUGAAAAACAUAUCCAAAGCACAAUAGGCAUUAGAAUUUGUGCAUCGAGAACUGAUUACAAAUAAUAUUGAUAUGUAUGUAAAUAACUGAGAAGUAUGUCUUAUGAAGAAAUAUAUUUUAUUACAAAAAAUUAUAAAACAUUUUCAAGAUUAUAUGCUUUAAAAGUUUAAGAUCAGAAAAUAAUCAACUUUAGAAAAACACGUAUAAAAAUUGUUAACAUCAUUGAUUAAAAAAAAAAAAAAAAAGCCAACAUGAUUGUUGUGAACAUCAACCUGCUGACUGAACCUGGGAAUUCAGGUUAAGUAUGUGACUGCUGCCGUGCCUCAGAGAAAUUUGUAUUUAAAUUAACUUAUGUAAAAAAAAAUCUUAGAACAAAUGUUUGUUUAUUUUUAUACUUAUUUAAGAAAUUGAAAACUUCUGAAAAUAAAGUUUGAUUGUGUCUUU
rnacentral:lncRNA from 1 species